GUACGCCCUUGUAGCUUGACCAGCCUGCGCUGGAAGGGUGAAGGGGUUGCAAUAAACUGGUGGCUGCGACUGUUUAAUAAAAACACAGCACUCUGCAAACACGAAAGUGGACGUAUAGGGUGUGACGCCUGCCCGGUGCCGGAAGAUUAAAUGAUGGGGUGCAAGCUCUUGAUUGAAGUCCCGGUAAACGGCGGCCGUAACUAUAACGGUCCUAAGGUAGCGAAAUUCCUUGUCGGGUAAGUUCCGACCUGCACGAAUGGCGUAACGAUGGCCACACUGUCUCCUCCCGAGACUCAGCGAAGUUGAAGUGUUUGUGAUGAUGCAAUCUACCCGCGGCUAGACGGAAAGACCCCAUGAACCUUUACUGUAGCUUUGCAUUGGACUUUGAACCGAUCUGUGUAGGAUAGGUGGGAGGCUAUGAAACCGGAACGCCAGUUUCGGUGGAGCCGUCCUUGAAAUACCACCCUGGUUUGUUUGAGGUUCUAACCUUGGCCCGUGAUCCGGGUCGGGGACAGUGCAUGGUAGGCAGUUUGACUGGGGCGGUCUCCUCCCAAAGCGUAACGGAGGAGUACGAAGGUACGCUAGGUACGGUCGGAAAUCGUGCUGAUAGUGCAAUGGCAUAAGCGUGCUUAACUGCGAGACCGACAAGUCGAGCAGGUGCGAAAGCAGGUCAUAGUGAUCCGGUGGUUCUGUAUGGAAGGGCCAUCGCUCAACGGAUAAAAGGUACUCUGGGGAUAACAGGCUGAUACCGCCCAAGAGUUCAUAUCGACGGCGGUGUUUGGCACCUCGAUGUCGGCUCAUCUCAUCCUGGGGCUGUAGCCGGUCCCAAGGGUAUGGCUGUUCGCCAUUUAAAGAGGUACGUGAGCUGGGUUUAAAACGUCGUGAGACAGUUUGGUCCCUAUCUGCCGUGGGCGUUGGAUAUUUGAAGGGGGCUGCUCCUAGUACGAGAGGACCGGAGUGGACGAACCUCUGGUGUACCGGUUGUGACGCCAGUCGCAUCGCCGGGUAGCUAUGUUCGGAAGAGAUAACCGCUGAAAGCAUCUAAGCGGGAAACUCGCCUUAAGAUGAGAUAUCCCUGGAGGCUUGACCUCCUUGAAGGGUCGUUCGAGACCAGGACGUUGAUAGGUCGGGUGUGUAAGCGCAGUAAUGCGUUCAGCUAACCGAUACUAAUUGCCCGUAAGGCUUGAUCCUAUAACA
rnacentral:rRNA from 1 species